rnacentral:rRNA from 1 species
CGAACGGGUGAGUAACGCGUGAGGAACCUGCCUCAAAGAGGGGGACAACAGUUGGAAACGGCUGCUAAUACCGCAUAAGCCCACGGCUCGGCAUCGAGCAGAGGGAAAAGGAGCAAUCCGCUUUGAGGUGGCCUCGCGUCCGAUUAGCUAGUUGGUGAGGUAAUGGCCCACCAAGGCAACGAUCGGUAGCCGGACUGAGAGGUUGAACGGCCACAUUGGGACUGAGACACGGCCCAG